UCCUUUGGAUGUCUUCCUGUAAGUUAACUAGUGGUGGUUGCCAGCAGAUUGCUCAAGAAUUACCUCAUUUGGUAGUGGAAGUCUUUAAUCAUGAAUUUGAUGAGGACAUGGGUAAUUUUGUUAAUACAUUAUACAUGUAUCGAUCUCUUGAAGGGCCAAGAGAUGAUGCACCGAAGUUUGUUUCCAUCUUGUAGGCAUUUGCACUGCAGGAAGAUGUAUUGUAUGUUAUGCUGGCUGUUGGACAAGCGGCAAGAAUCAUUUUUUGCGGGAAUGUUGAAUUCAGGAAGA
rnacentral:misc_RNA from 1 species